GACGAACGCUGGCGGCGUGCUUAACACAUGCAAGUCGAACGGAAAGGCCCUGCUUUUGUGGGGUGUUCGAGUGGCGAACGGGUGAGUAACACGUGAGUAACCUGCCCUUGACUUUGGGAUAACUUCAGGAAAUUGGGGCUAAUACCGGAUAGGAGCUCCUGCUGCAUGGUGGGGGUUGGAAAGUUUCGGCGGUUGGGGAUGGACUCGCGGCUUAUCAGCUUGUUGGUGGGGUAGUGGCUUACCAAGGCUUUGACGGGUAGCCGGCCUGAGAGGGUGACCGGCCACAUUGGGACUGAGAUACGGCCCAGACUCCUACGGGAGGCAGCAGUGGGGAAUAUUGCACAAUGGGCGGAAGCCUGAUGCAGCAACGCCGCGUGCGGGAUGACGGCCUUCGGGUUGUAAACCGCUUUCGCCUGUGACGAAGCGUGAGUGACGGUAAUGGGUAAAGAAGCACCGGCUAACUACGUG
rnacentral:rRNA from 1 species